GCCUGGGAGGACUCUGGUUGCUGGAAUGAGCUGGUCUGUUGGGGGAGGGGGCACUGGAAGCCAAAGGACCCAGAGGGAAGCAGAAACGAGACAGGAGCCAAAUCACAGCCACGGAAAGCCAGCAGAGACCAGUGAGCUGCCAGAGGAGGGGACAGGGCCUGUCACAUGGGACCUGCACAGACCCAUGGGGCCCUGAGAUCAGAAUGGCCCCAGGGCAAUCAACUCCCUGACACAGGCCAGAUGGACAUCCGGGAGAAAUCCAUAGUACUGGAGCUGGUUCAGAGCCCCACGGAAUUAACUCGGAAUAAAACCACGAGAGAAAGG
ensembl:lncRNA novel transcript